rnacentral:rRNA from 1 species
AUACGGAGGAUGCAAGCGUUAUCCGGAUUUAUUGGGUUUAAAGGGUGCGUAGGCGGUUUGCUAAGCGGGAGGUGAAAUGCCGGCGCUCAACGUCGGAAGUGCCUCCCGAACUGGUGGACUGGAAUGACUCUGCCGUGGGAGGAAUGUGUAGUGUAGCGGUGAAAUGCUUAGAGAUUACACAGAACACCGAUUGCGAAGGCAUCUCACGAGGGGUUGAGUGACGAUGAGGCACGAAAGGGUGGGGAACAAACAGGAUUAGAUACCGUGGUAGUCCACGCCGUAAACGAUGGGCGCUCGUCGGCGGCGGCAGACAGUCGGCGGCCAAGCGAAAGCGAUAAGCGCCCCGCCUGGGGAGUACGGCCGCGAGGUUGAAACUCAAAUGAAUUGGCGGGG